GCUGGGCACAGUGGUGCAUACCUGUAAUCCCAGAAACUCUGGAGGCUGAGGCAGGAGGAGCCUAGGUUUGAACAAUUUAGCAAGCCUCCAAAACAUAGUAAGAUCCUGUCUCAA
rnacentral:sRNA from 1 species